rnacentral:rRNA from 1 species
UACGGAGGAUGCAAGCGUUAUCCGGAAUGAUUGGGCGUAAAGCGUCCGCAGGUGGCUGUGUAAGUCUGCUGUCAAAGAGCAAAGCUCAACUUUGUAAAGGCAGUGGAAACUACACGGCUAGAGUGCGUUCGGGGCAGAGGGAACUCCUGGUGUAGCGGUGAAAUGCGUAGAGAUCAGGAAGAACACCGGUGGCGAAGGCGCUCUGCUAGGCCGCAACUGACACUGAGGGACGAAAGCUAGGGGAGCGAAUGGG